rnacentral:rRNA from 1 species
AUUGAACGCUGGCGGCAUGCUUUACACAUGCAAGUCGAACGGCAGCACGGGUGCUUGCACCUGGUGGCGAGUGGCGAACGGGUGAGUAAUGCAUCGGAACGUGCCCAUGUGUGGGGGAUAGCCCGGCGAAAGCCGGAUUAAUACCGCAUACGCCCUUAGGGGGAAAGCGGGGGAUCUUCGGACCUCGCGCUAUUGGAGCGGCCGAUGUCGGAUUAGCUAGUAGGUGAGGUAAAGGCUCACCUAGGCGACGAUCCGUAGCUGGUCUGAGAGGAUGAUCAGCCACACUGGGACUGAGACACGGCCCAGACUCCUACGGGAGGCAGCAGUGGGGAAUUUUGGACAAUGGGCGCAAGCCUGAUCCAGCCAUGCCGCGUGAGUGAAGAAGGCCU